rnacentral:lncRNA from 1 species
UAGGCAACAGCUUCACCAUCACUUGCUCUGUUAAGGUGGUGCCUUUCACCUGCAGAUCAAUGGAAUGGCUGUUCAGUCAGAGAGCACCUACAGUGGCUCCGUCACCUUCUCGGUUCCUGCUGCACAGUAUUCCCACAUGGGGAAUUAUACCUGCAGCUAUGAGGCUGAAGUGUUCAAUCGGACGUUUGUCUCACCUUCAAGUGCUUUGAUGCCCCUAACUGUGAGAGAGUCCCUGCUGAAGCCUAUAGUCCUGCGGUGAUGUUAGUGGUGCUGUUGCUGUUGAU